rnacentral:rRNA from 1 species
CCUACGGGAGGCAGCAGUAGGGAAUAUUGCUCAAUGGGGGAAACCCUGAAGCAGCAACGCCGCGUGGAGGAUGAAGGUUUUCGGAUUGUAAACUCCUUUUGUUAGAGAAGAUAAUGACGGUAUCUAACGAAUAAGCAACGGCUAACUCCGUGCCAGCAGCCGCGGUAAUACGGAGGGUGCAAGCGUUACUCGGAAUCACUGGGCGUAAAGAGCGCGGAGGCGGGAUAGCAAGUCAGAUGUGAAAUCCUAGGGCUUAACCAUAGAACUGCAUUUGAAACUGUUAUUCUAGAGUAUGGGAGAGGUAGGUGGAAUUCUUGGUGUAGGGGUAAAAUCCGUAGAGAUCAAGAGGAAUACUCAUUGCGAAGGCGACCUGCUAGAACAUAACUGACGCUGAUGCGCGAAAGCGUGGGGAGCAAACAGGAUUAGAUACCCGUGUAGUC